GACUCUGUCAUCUUACGUCCAGUCAGUGAAAUGAAAUUCUCAUCAUUUUUCCACGCGAGCUGAACAUUUUGACAGAUGGCCCAUACAUUUUGUGUCAAAAUUUCAUUUCACCGGCUGGCCGUAUACUUGGCUCAUCUCUUGAAUUUGAAAUUGUAUUUUCAUUGGCAUGAAAUAAAUUAUUUUUCUCAGUCAAAUGUUUAUCGAGAAACCAUUUUCGAAUUGAAAUUUUUAAACGAUUUAUUUAUAUAAAUUCACAAAAAAUGUAAAACAGAAUUCUAGCACAUUUUUUUGCACUUAAAAUACCUUACUUUUAGUCAACGUAAAAAGCAUUUAAGUAAAUAAACACACACACACGAUAUUUGAAGAGUUUUAUAACGACUUUCAGUCGGAUUGUAACUUGUUAGCACUUUUCAUAAUGUUUGAAUAUGCAAAACGUGUUCGGUUAAAAGGUUUGCUGAUAUAACAUUAUGUAACAAGUAAAGUGUAAGCGGUUUUUCAUUUGCCGUUUCCUUUUUUCUGAACUUUAAACGGGUAAAAUGAAUCAAAGUUAAUACGAGUGCCAAAUUGAAAACAGAAGUAGCUCCAACUUUCAGUCUCUUUGUUAUGUAGGUUUUAUGUCUUCUGAGUGAGUGCUUGAUUCACCGUCUCUAAUAAUGUAGUUGUAGUUGUAACGAGUGGCUGUAAGGAGCUCCUUUUUCCCUUUUUAAGCUGAUGUUCAUUCUACUCUAAUCGUUAUUGUUACAACUUAUAUGCUGCCGCGAAGUGGAAUUAAAAUGAUUCAGGUUUUUAAAUCGAAAAUGUAGAGAGAAAUUAUUGCUAAGCUUCGAGUCUCGUAUUCUCUAAAAUCCUAAAUUAAAAGCGAAAUUUUAGUUUUGUUUUCUGCAAUCGAAAAUUCAACAAAAUUUUUAAAGAGAAUUCACAAUGUCAAUGUCGUCAAGCUCGGACAAAAAAUUAGAAACAUUAAAAUUCAAAAAUAUUUUGGCAGGAGAUAAUUUAUGGUCGCUUGUACGCUUGAAAACAACCGAAAUAAUGCACUUGAUUGGUUUAGUUCGUUGAUUAGUUAAAUGAACGGGUCAGUGCUUUCAGAACUAAUUUUUCUGUGAAAUUGUUUGGACUUGUGUUUCCUUGCCGUUGUUUUCGGUUAAAUAUAUUUGAAAAUGGAAAACGUUUGCAGAGCCGUAUUAACACUUAGCCCCUUGGCGCUGAAUAAAACUGGUGAAAAUUGGCGCUGGAAAUUUCAACGAUACGUCUUUGCUUUGUGCUGAAAAUCAAAUAUCCCAGUGGCGCCCGAAGUCUUAAUCCGGCUCUGAACGUUUGGUUUAAUGCAAUCAUAUUUUCCCACUUAAAAGUCGAGCCCGACACAGUGACUUCUAAAAUUUAGCAUGGAAUUGUAGUCUACUCCAUUUAUCUAUGCGACAAAUAAUGAAAAUGAAACUUUCUGUGUCUGAACAGAGCCGUAGACGAGGUACACUCACCUCAAAAUACUCAGCAAUAUUCAUGCGACUCUCUGUUUUUCGUAGUCCCGUACGUUUCAUAUGAUCAUAUCGACAGUACAUGUUGUGAGAAGUGGAACUGUUGGAAUUUAAG